GAUUUAACCUGAGACUGGGGUAGAGAAGAAGCAUCAAAACCUUCUACGUUUUGAUGCUUCUUCUCUACCCCAGUCUCAGGUUAAAUCAACA
rnacentral:pre_miRNA from 1 species